UGAAGAGUUUGAUCCUGGCUCAGAGUGAACGUUGGCGGCGUGGAUGAGGCAUGCAAGUCGAGCGAGAAAGUCCGCAAGGAUGAGUACAGCGGCGAAAGGGCGAGCAAUGAGUGGCUUACGUACCCUAAAGUGGGGGACAACCUCGAGAAAUCGGGGCUAAUACCGCAUAAGACCACAGCACUGCAUAGUGCAGGGGUCAAAGGGGGCUUCGGCUCUCGCUUAUGGAGCGGGCCACUUGAUAUCAGCUAGUUGGUAGGGUAAUGGCCUACCAAGGCUACGACGUCUAGCCGGUCUGAGAGGAUGGCUGGCCGCACCGGAACUGAGACACUGUCCGGACACCUACGGGUGGCUGCAGUCGAGAAUCUUUGUCAAUGGGCGAAAGCCUGAACGAGCGACGCCGCGUGUGGGAUGAAGGCGGAUACCGUUGUAAACCACUGUCAGGGGCUUUGAAUAAGGUGCAUGACCUGCACUGAUGACCUUAACCCCAGAGGAAGUCGCAGCUAACUACGUGCCAGCAGCUGCGGUAAUACGUAGGCGGCGAACGUUACUCGGAAUCACUGGGCUUAAAGGGCGUGUAGGCGGCUUGUCAAGUUGGAGUUGAAAUCCGGCGGCUUAACCGUCGAAGUGGCCCCAAUACUGACGAGCUUGAGUCGCGGAGGGGAUGCUGGAACUCGUAGUGGAGCGGUGGAAUGCGCAGAGAUUACGAGGAACACCGAAGGCGAAGGCAGGCAUCUGGUCGACGACUGACGCUGAGGCGCGAAAGCCGGGGGAGCAAACAGGAUUAGAUACCCUGGUAGUCCCGGCCGUAAACGAUGUGCACUAGGGAGGGGAGGACGCCUAGUUCUUCCUUCCCCAAGGGAAACCGUUAAGUGCACCGCCUGGGGAGUAUGCUCGCAAGGGUAAAACUCAAAGGAAUUGACGGGGGCUCACACAAGCGGUGGAGCAUGUGGUUUAAUUCGAAGCAACGCGAAGAACCUUACC
rnacentral:rRNA from 1 species